UGCAGCAGCAGCCGGAACCCACAGUUCACCUUGGUGCGUUCCUUUAUGAUGAAGACUUAUUGAUUCAUUAUAUGAGAAAGGAAAAAUGAGCAGAAACUACUGUAUGAUGUGCAGCUCACACCAGACAGCACCUUUAGGGUUAUCUUUCCAGUUCAGCAGUGCAACUCUAUGGAGUAGAAUUGAAAGGAGACUUUCGCCAAUUGCAGGAAAUGGUCAUAAAAAAAUACCUGUUCACUGACAGAAUAAAGGUUCUUCUGCUUCCCCGAACCACAAGAUGGAAAAUAGCUGCUGGCAGCUCUUCAGUUUACAAAUUACAGUGUGGACACAGGAAGAGAAAUGGUUGUUUCUCAGUCCAAAUGCCAUGUCUCAGGAAAAGGCUCCAACCGGCCCACAUUGGGGCAGAUGUCCAUCCCAGGACUUAUCAACUGUCAUCUAUAUUUGGGACAACCUCUAUUGAAAAUGAUGAUUUUCACUUCAAUUCUGAGGAGUAGGCAGGAAAGGGAAAUUUUUA
rnacentral:lncRNA from 1 species